rnacentral:rRNA from 1 species
UACGUAGGGGGCAAGCGUUGUCCGGAUUUAUUGGGCGUAAAGAGCGUGUAGGCGGCCAUGCAGGUCCGUUGUGAAACUGGAGGCUUAAACCUCCAGACCGUCGACGGAAACCGCGGUGGCUAGAGUCCGGAAGAGGUGAGUGGAACGUCCUAGUGUAGAGGUGGAAUUCGUAGAUAUUAGGAAGAACACCGGUGGCGAAGGCGGCCCACUGGAUCGGCACUGACGCUGAGGUGCGGAAGCGUGGGGAGCAAACAGG